UCCCUCACGGCCUCCUGCGCAUGCCCGGUGGAAGACGACGCCCUUCCCCCAUAGAGGAGGACCACGUUUCAGUCAGGGUUUAAAAGGAGCUUCGCUCCCCAGUCAGAACCUCCAAACACGCUCUCAAGGUCUUAUUACCUCUAGUCUGUAUGUAAGGAAACGGUGC
rnacentral:sRNA from 1 species